AGUACGGCGGAACACGUGAAAUUCCGUCGGAAUCCGGGAGGACCAUCUCCCAAGGCUAAAUACUCCCUAGUGACCGAUAGUGAACCAGUACCGUGAGGGAAAGGUGAAAAGCACCCCGGAAGGGGAGUGAAACAGUUCCUGAAACCGUGUGCCUACAAGUAGUUAGAGCCCGUUAAUGGGUGAUAGCGUGCCUUUUGUAGAAUGAACCGGCGAGUUACGAUUUGUUGCAAGGUUAAGCGGAAAAAGCGGAGCCGUAGCGAAAGCGAGUCUGAAUAGGGCGCAUAAGUAACAGGUCGUAGACCCGAAACCAGGUGAUCUACCCAUGUCCAGGAUGAAGGUAAGGUAAUACUUACUGGAGGUCCGAACCCACGCACGUUGAAAAGUGCGGGGAUGAGGUGUGGGUAGCGGAGAAAUUCCAAUCGAACUUGGAGAUAGCUGGUUCUCUCCGAAAUAGCUUUAGGGCUAGCCUCGAGGUAAAGAGUCAUGGAGGUAGAGCACUGUUUGGACUAGGGGCCCUUCUCGGGUUACCGAAUUCAGAUAAACUCCGAAUGCCAUGUACUUAUACUCGGGAGUCAGACUGCGAGUGAUAAGAUCCGUAGUCGAAAGG
rnacentral:rRNA from 1 species